rnacentral:rRNA from 1 species
AGAGUUUGAUCAUGGCUCAGAUUGAACGCUGGCGGAAUGCUUUACACAUGCAAGUCGAACGGCAGCACGGGAGCUUGCUCCUGGUGGCGAGUGGCGGACGGGUGAGUAAUAUAUCGGAACGUAUCUAUUAAUGGGGGAUAACUAGCCGAAAGGUUAGCUAAUACCGCAUACGCCCUGAGGGGGAAAGCUGGGGAUCUUCGGACCUGGCGUUAAUAGGGCGGCCGAUAUCUGAUUAGCUAGUUGGUGGGGUAAAGGCCUACCAAGGCAUCGAUCAGUAGCUGGUCUGAGAGGACGACCAGCCACACUGGAACUGAGACACGGUCCAGACUCCUACGGGAGGCAGCAGUGGGGAAUUUUGGACAAUGGGCGCAAGCCUGAUCCAGCAAUGCCGCGUGAGUGAAGAAGGCCUUCGGGUUGUAAAGCUCUUUUGUCAGGGAAGAAACGGUGAGGGCUAAUAUCCUUUGCUAAUGACGGUACCUGAAGAAUAAGCACCGGCUAAC